GACGAAGGAUGCAAGCGUUAUCCGGAUUCAUUGGGUUUAAAGGGUGCGUAGGCGGUCUUAUAAGUCAGUGGUGAAAUCUCUCAGCUUAACUGAGAAACUGCCAUUGAUACUGUAGGACUUGAGUACAGAUGAUGUUGGCGGAAUAUGACAUGUAGCGGUGAAAUGCAUAGAUAUGUCAUAGAACACCGAUUGCGAGGCAGCUGACAAAACUGUAACUGACGCUGAGGCACGAAAGUGUGGGGAUCAAACAGG
rnacentral:rRNA from 1 species